ACAGGUAAGUUGUUUCAUCACAAAUUUGAUAUUAUGACAUGGGCCUGAUACAUGGGUCUGUGUGGUUGUCAUAUCUAGUAGACAACCAGAACAUGGCCAGCUGAAAAUUAUAUUUAAAAAAUUAAAAUGAAUAUAAUUACAUUAUAUUCAUAUAUAUGUCUUAAAGAAACUUAUGGCAAUCCCAUAAAUUUUAUAAGAUUAUCUUGGACAAGGAAUACUCAGCAUUACAUUUCAUAUGUGUCUUUCUGACUUUAACUAAAUAAAAGGUGAGGACAAAGAAGCAAACUGAGUGAAAUGGUUUCCAUCAGCUAGCAGGAGCCAGAAGUAAAGAGAGAGGAGAAUGGGAGAAAUUUGCAUCAGAGGAAGGACCUGAGAAGAAGAAAAACCUUUGCUCCUUAAACUUUGCAACCAGAUCUACAAAGCAGCACUAUGGGAUUGACACUUAGCAAAACAAAACUGUAAGAAAUUGUAAUCACAGAUAUCCCAUAUAUGA